rnacentral:lncRNA from 1 species
UGGGAGGAAGUCACAGCAUCUACUUCUGAAUCUGUGCUUGCCUUGAGGAACAACGGCAUGACACAAGAAUGUGGACGCUUUCAACCAGAGGAUUCUGUACGACAGUGUCGGCACACACUCAUCUUCGUCUACGGCCAAACGUUGGUUUCUCAUUUCUAGAAGAUGAAAGAUGUGAUGACUCAGGAAAAACUGGAAUCUUAGUAACUGUGGUGGGCAUUGAGCCUUGCCAUCCACAAGAGAAAGCUUGCUGCUCGAGAUGUGAGUCUUCAGAUGUUCCUGCCGCCAUAUCUGACAGCUGCUGCCAAGAUUCCCUGGUGGGAUGGACUCUUAUACCUCGACAACCAGAAGCCCAAGUAAACUCUUCUAUAAAUUGAAUGACUCAUGCUUAAAAAAAAAAAAAACUAUCUUU